GAUAAACGCUGGCGGCGCACAUAAGACAUGCAAGUCGAACGGACUUAACCAUUAGUUUACUAUUGGAGCGGUUAGUGGCGGACUGGUGAGUAACACGUAAGCAACCUGCCUGUUAGAGGGGAACAACAGUUAGAAAUGACUGCUAAUACCGCAUAUGCCUUAACUAUCGCAUGAUAGAAGAGGGAAAAGGAGUGAUCCGCUUUGAGAUGGCCUCGCGUCCGAUUAGCUGGUUGGUGAGGUAACGGCCCACCAAGGCGACGAUCGGUAGCCGGACUGAGAGGUUGAACGGCCACAUUGGGACUGAGACACGGCCCAG
rnacentral:rRNA from 1 species